GUAUGAUUAUGCAUGCCAUCCUGUACCAACUCAGCUUGAACUGGAGACAAUGGCAACAGAAAAUGUUAACACUCAUGAUCUCAUGAGAAAAUGAAGCUGCCAUUUCACAACCAGGUCCACCAGAAGUUACUGCUUUAUAUGUCAUGAUGGAAGGCACUACAAUUGUGGCAUUAAAACAAGAAGCUGUAAUACAUCAUGAGAAAUGUGGAAGUCCCUAUGACAGGUGCAAAGCG
rnacentral:lncRNA from 1 species